rnacentral:rRNA from 1 species
GUGAGGAAUUUUCCGCAAUGGGCGAAAGCCUGAUCCAGCCAUGCCGCGUGAACGAUGAAGGCCUUCGGGUUGUAAAGUUCUUUAGCCGAUGAUUAUAAUGACUGUAGUCGGAAAAUAAGCCCCGGCUAACUUCGUGCCAGCAGCCGCGGUAAUACGAAGGGGGCGAGCGUUAUUCGGAAUCACUGGGCGUAAAGCGUGCGUAGGCGGUUUUGUAAGUUAGGAGUGAAAGCCCAGGGCUCAACCUUGGAAUUGCUCUUAAAACUGCAAGGCUCGAAUCUCGGAGAGGAUAGCGGAAUUUCCAGUGUAGCAGUGAAAUGCGUAGAUAUUGGAAGGAACACCAGUGGCGUAAGCGGCUAUCUGGACGAGUAUUGACGCUGAGGCACGAAAGCGUGGGGAUCAAACAGGAUUAGAAACCCCUGUAGUCC